CCUACGGGAGGCAGCAGUGGGGAAUAUUGCACAAUGGGGGAAACCCUGAUGCAGCAACGCCGCGUGAGUGAAGAAGUAUUUCGGUAUGUAAAGCUCUAUCAGCAGGGAAGAAGAUGACGGUACCUGAGUAAGAAGCCCCGGCUAACUACGUGCCAGCAGCCGCGGUAAUACGUAGGGGGCAAGCGUUAUCCGGAUUUACUGGGUGUAAAGGGAGCGUAGACGGUGAGACAAGUCUGAAGUGAAAGCCCGGGGCUCAACCCCGCUCCGCCGUUGAAACUGUGUCCCUUGAGUGCGCGAAGGGUAGGCGGAAUGCGUGGUGUAGCGGUGAAAUGCAUAGAUAUCACGCAGAACUCCGAUCGCGAAGGCAGCCUACCGGCGCGCAACUGACGCUCAUGCACGAAAGCGUGGGUAUCGAACAGGAUUAGAUACCCUUGUAGUC
rnacentral:rRNA from 1 species